GCAAAACGCGAAGAACCUUACCAGGGCUUGACAUCCCGCUGACCGCUCCAGAGAUGGAGCUUCCCUUCGGGGCAGCGGUGACAGGUGGUGCAUGGUUGUCGUCAGCUCGUGUCGUGAGAUGUUGGGUUCAGUCCCGCAACGAGCGCAGCCCUUAUCGCUAGUUGCCAGCAUUCAGUUGGGCACUCUAGCGAGACAGCCGGUGAAAGCCGGAGGAAGGUGGGGAUGACGUCAAAUCAUCAUGCCCCUUAUGUCCUGGGCUACACACGUGCUACAAUGGCCGGUACAAUGGGUCGCCAACCCGCGAGGGGGAGCUAAUCCCACAAAACCGGUCUCAGUUCGGAUCGCAGGCUGCAACUCGCCUGCGUGAAGCCGGAAUCGCUAGUAAUCGCGGAUCAGCAUGCCGCGGUGAAUACGUUCCCGGGUCUUGUACACACCA
rnacentral:rRNA from 1 species